GUACUGUCCGUCCGUCUGAGGGUGGAAUGCAGUCAGACCUCUCUAUAACGACAUCCUUAUAUAACAUCACUUCACUAUAAAAGCCAAGUUUUCUCUAGAACCAAAUUUCAUGUUCUAUUAUAAUAUAUGUUUUCUAUAGCAACAAUUCGCUAUAACAUCCAAAAAUAUCUAGAACAAACGAGGUUGUUAUAGAGAGGUUUGACUGUACUCAACUCAACCUGUGUGCCUAACUCUCACUCCACUUCUCUCCAAAUAUGCGAUGUGAAUUGCGUUCCCCGGUCAGAAAUAAUAGACACCGGCACACCGUGAAGGCGAACAAUCUCACGGAUAUAGAUCUCAUCCAAUCGCUCCAAAGAUUGGGUAGUCCCAACUGGAAUUAAAUGCAUGGACUUAGUCAAUCGGUCCACAAUCACCCAAAUAACAUCAAAUUUCUUCGAAGUACGAGGGACCGCAACAACGAAGUCCAUGGUGAUACUCUCCCAUUUCCACUAAGGAAUAUCAAGCCUCUAAAGCAAACCGCUCGGCCUUUGAUGCUCGUACUUCACCUGCUGACACUUCAAGCAUCGAGCUACAAACUCCACUAUAUCUUUCUUCAUUCUCCUCCACCAAUAGUGCUUCCUCAGGUCCUGAUACAUCUUUGCAGCAUUCGGAUGAAUGGAAUACCGCGAACUGUGGGCCUCUUGUUACGGCCAAACGCACACACAAGUAUACACGGGCGUCAAGUAAUAAAGUGACUAAAAGUCAGAUGCCGAACCCACUAGGACUUGCGACUAACUAUUAACUAAAUUAGACUAUACUAAUUAUGUAAACAAGAAUUAAACCUAGAAGUAUUUGAUUCUAAACUAAUUAAAAUAAGAAGAAAACAACUAAUGAACUUUAAACAGAGGAAGAGCAGAUUUUUAUAUUAUCAAUGUGAUAAAAAACGAUCUAGGGUUGUGAGCUAUCUAACAUUCCUGUUGUAUUCUUCAAUUGAAUUGACUAACUAAUUUAUCUAGUUUAUUGGUUAACAAGGUUAAUAUUGCUCAUAAGAAUCUAACGAGUUCUUACUCGCCUAUUCAAGCUAAUCCAAUGCUUAUAUGUCUAUGGAAUUAGAACUAACAAGAAUGCAUUUAUAAUUGCUGUAAAUCAACCAAUCAAGUCAAUUAGGUAUAUGUCUAUCCUAACCACGAAUCUGUUCCCCGAUGCCCAGGGUCAAGAACUUUCUCUACUCAAUCCUAUGUGCAAUCUAGAAUUCCUACUUUCUAGUUCAAUUCUAGAUUCGUAGAUAGUAUUCAAUUGGUGAUCAAGUAAUCAAAUAAUUAAGUGCAUGAUUGAAUAAAUAAAGUAAUACGACAAAUCAAGAAAUUAAAAUCAAUAUUCGAAUAACAAUAUUCAUGAAAGAACCAUAACCCUAGAAUGUGAAGUUUAUCUCCAUAUAGACAUGGUAGUCAAACAACAAAUCAUACAAAGAAAUAUGAAUAUUACUAAGUUUGGUGGAAGAAAAGAUGAAACUCAGCCUCCAUCGCGGCUCUAUGAUUUCUCUUUGUCAAAUGUUCCUCCCAAAAACGUUCUCCCCCUCCAAAAUAGAUUUAGGACCCCUUUUAUAAGAGUUGGGAGUGUAUAGGUCAGAAAUAACCAAGUCUCGGGCGAAAUAGAAAAAGUCCCGCCUCCAGCGUCCAUCGCACAUACCAGAAUUGUUUUCCUUCAAAUUCCUUGUGCCGCCUGACUUCCUUAUGUUUCGUUGCUUCUAUUCAUUCCUUGCCUAACUUUUCCAUUCUUUCUCAUUUCUUUGUGUGUUUGUAACCAAGCUUUGACGCCUUCCAUUAUUAAAAUUUCAAUUUGUCUUUUCCAAUCAUAUUUUUAGUUGCUGCCACAUACUAUUUGGACUUUGCUUAAUUUAACUCUUGUAGUGAUUAACCAAUUUGAGAACAAAGAGUUCCACAUUCAAUUCUUCAACUAAUGUCUCCAAUGCCUCAAAUUUUAAUUACGUUGCCAUGCAUAACUAACUUUUACUUCUUCAUUUUGCUCAAAAUUUCAUCUUCAAAAUACCUACAUUAUCCAAUAAAACCCAUAUAAAUAUAAAAAUCCAUAAUUUAAGCUAAGUUGGGCGUAUUCAAUAUCAAAUAUAACCGAAAGGCUGUAAAAUGCGAGUUAAUUAAUAUCGAAACAUAUGAAAAUAUGCCCAACGUCACCUCCUUAAGAAUCAACUCACGUAACCCAUCUACAUUGGGCACACAGAUCUGACCCUGCAUUCGCAAAACCCCAUCAUCUCCAAUAAAAACAUCCAUGGCAUCACUGUGCUAAACUGUGCCCUUAAGGACAAGAAAAUAGGGGUCUUCAUACUUACGCUCUCUGAUGCGCUCAUAUAAAGAAGACCGAGAAACCACGUAAGCUAGAGCUCGACUAGGCUCCAAAACAUCUAACCUCACAAACUUAUUGGCCAAGGCCUGAACAUCUUAUGCAAGCGAUCUCUCCCCAACAAGAAUAUAUGCAAGGCUACCCAUACCCACUAUCUUCCUACUCAAGGCAUCGGCCACCACAUUCACCUUUCCAGGAUGAUAAAAAUGGUAAUAUCACUGUCUUUUAACAUCUCCACCAUCUCCGUUGCCUCAAAUUUAGAUCUUUUUGCUUGAACGAGUGUUGUAGACUAGGAUGAUCUUUAAAUACCUUACAAGACACGCCAUAGAGAUAAUGCCUCCAAAUCAUCAAUGUAUGGACAAUGGCUGCCAACUCUAAAUCAUGAACGGGGUAGUUUUUCUCAUGGGGCUUCAAUUGGCGUGAAGCAUAAGCAAUCACUCUACCCUCCUGCAUCAAUACAUACCCAAUACCAAUCCGAGAAGCAUCACAAUACACUGUAUAUGAACCCGAUGCUGAACGCAAAACUAGAAUCGAAGUUAUGGUCAAGGCAGUCUUGAGCUUCUGAAAGUUAUCCUUACACUCAUCAGAACACCUGAAUAUGGCACCCUUCUGGGUCAACCUAGUCAAAGGCGUAGCGAUGGACGAGAAACCCUCCACGAAGCGGCGAUAAUAUCCAGCCAAGCUAAGAAAACUCCAAAUCUCAGUAGUCGAUGACGGUCUGGGCUAACUCUAAACUUCCUCAAUCUUCUUCAAAUCUACUUUGAUACCCUUACUAGACACCACGUGCCCCGAGAACGCCACCGAAUAGAGCCAGAACUCACACUUGGAGAAUUUAGCAUAAAAUUUCUCCUCCAUAAACAUCUGUAGUAUAAUCCUCAAAUACUGUGCAUGCUCCUCCUGGCUGCAUGAGUACACCGGGAUAUCAUCAAUGAAUACUAUGACAAACGAAUCAAGAUAUGGCUAGAAUACACUAUUCCUCAGAUGCAUAAAUGUUAUUGGGGCAUUGGUCAGCCAAAAAGACAUCACAAGAAAGUCGUAGUGACCAUAGCAGGUCCUGAAUGCCAUCUUCAGAAUAUCAGAGUCCCGAAUCAUCAGCUGGUGAUACCCAGACCUCAAAUCAAUCAUAGAGAAUACUCUAGCUCCCUAAAACUGGUCAAAUAAGUCAUCAAUGCGCGGAAAAUGAUACUUGUUCUUAAUUGUAACUUUGUUCAACUAUUUAUAAUCAAUGUACAUCUGCAUAGUGCCAUCAUUCUUCUUCACAAACAGAACUGGUGCACCCCAAGAUGGCACGCCAUGCCUAAUGAACCCCUUAUCAAGAAGCUUUUGAAGCUGCUCUUUCAAUUCCUUCAACUCUGCUGGUGCCAUACGAUACGGAGGAAUAGAAAUGAGCUGAGUGUACGGCACUAAUUUAAUACAAAAAUCAAUGUCCAUGUCGGGUGGCAUAUCCGACAGGUCAGUAGGAAACACAUCCAGAAAGUCUCGCACUGCCAGAACAGAAUCAAUGGUAGAAGUAUCAAUACCAACAUCCCGUACAAAGGCCAAAUAUACCAAACAACCCUUUUCAACCAUCCGUUGGGCUUUCAAAUAUGAAAUAACCCUACUGGGAACAUAGUCCAGAGAACCUCUCUACUCAAUCCUAGGCAAUCCCGGCAUCACCAAUGUCACUAUCUUAACGUGACAAUCCAGAAUAGUAUGACCUGGGGACAACUAAUCCAUGCCUAGAAUAACGUCAAAAUCAACUAUAUUAAGUAAAAAGAGAUCAACUCUCAUCUCCAAUCCCCCAAUAGUCACCACACACGACUGUUGCACCCUAUUUUGCACGAUUCAAAACAAGAUUCAACUUUUGGUUUCUUUGUUGUUUAUGAAAGUGAGUCACCACCUAAUAUUUAAAGGUAUAAUUCUAGGGUACCUAUUUAAUUAUUAAAGUCAUAUUCUUUAUUAGUCUACUUACCGAUGAGGUUUUGGGUAAGGGUUCUUAUUCUUCUAAGGGAAAGGUAUUAGGCACCCCUUAAAAUCCACCUGAGGUAGCUCCAUAGGACUUAGACUAGGUUUAAAAAGUUAGUUAUUUGUAUUUUACUUAAUUAGUAUUAGAGAGGCACGACUUACUAUUUAUCUAAGUGAGAGUAUGAUGUUAAUAAAAGGGAUCCGAGAUUUAAAAGGGGUAAGAGUUUAGAAAGAGUCUUGAAAACUAAUGUGGAUGCAAUUAGAAGAGUUUUAAAAAUGAGUGGUUUGUGUGAAGCAUGUCGAAAACACAUUGUUUUUAAAGAAUAGAUGUUCAUAUAAUUUAAUAAGAUAAAGAUGGUAUAAGUAAAUGAGUCUAAGAUAUACCUUGGCUUCUGAAAUCACUUAAAUCUUAGACUUGAGGGAAUAGUUUUGAAAGUCUUUGUUGGGGGUAGCAUUUAAGUUUUGAAAGAGUCGAUUUAUUUUAGAAGUCUAGUUUUGCGAUUCGUUUCUGGUUUUGAAAAAGGGGCUGUCGUCUUUGCUAAGUUAUUUUCAGAUUCAAAAUCUUCAUGAAAAAGGUUAGCAAAACGUAGCAGAUUAGUAAUAUGAACAUUACAUGAUUAGCUAAUGGAGAAUUGGUUACUACCUAAUAUUUCUUUUAAUCCUAUGUCUUUCAAGGCUUUCCUAAGUUAUCUAUAUAAUUCUAAAGAUAAAGUAAAAGCAUUAAAUCAAAUAUGAUGAGAGCAACGUCAUAUACAUAUAAAGGAAUAUAAGUAACGAAAAAUAAAGAAGCAGUAAAAGGGUGAGGAGUGACUCUGGUUUGUGCCUGAAAGAGGUAUGCACAGUAAUCAGCAGGAAUGGAUAGCAAUAAGCUCCAGAUUUUCAGAUGCAUGGCACAAGGUUUGGGACUAAGUUCCUUGAGAACUCAGCAGGCCAAUGGUUGUACAUGUUCAAAAAAGAAAGAGAUAAAGUCAUUAGCAUUAAUAUUCUAUACAUACAAUCAUACAUGAAAUAGGUAAGUAAGUGACCUGAACAAAAUAUAACAACCACCAGUACUUAAAUAUUAUAAAAGGUUAUACUAAUGUGGAGGUUACAUAUGGUAAAAUGAUUUACAUUGAAAAUAUUUCGUUGUCAUUAAACAUUAAACCCAAAAUAAAUAAUGAAUAUCAAUGGAUUAGAGGUUAAGGGUAGAGUUAUACUUAAGGUCAAAGGCCCCUUUGAAUCCCCUGACACUUCAAAGUUUCCAAGGGUCUCAAAGGCCCAGGGCAAUGCUUGUUCCAGGGAGAGCAUCCCAACCAAGAGUUAAACUCUACUCCCAAAUACCCCUAACCAUUAAUGACUCAUUUUUUCCACAAGUUUAACUGCCAAUGAGGAACUUUCAAUGUAAACUAAUCACCAUAGCAAUACCACACAACAGAAGUGUAUACCUUUCUUAAUAGGUCCAAACAGAAUAUCAUAAGGCUACAUGGCAAUUUAUCUACACUAUCAUAACCAUUUUCAAAACUAAAUAGAUGGUUAAUACAUCAAACAACUCCAAAGAAGAUAAGCUUCAAACAUACUUUAUCAUGCUGCUGUUAAGAAAUCAAACAUAUGAGGCCAAGCAUCUUUAGGACAGAGAGAACAUAAUUCCAGUAUGUAAUAACUCAUAAGUACAUGCGUAUUUGUUUUAAUAGAACUCAAUCACACUAAUCACAAAUUGAUUAAGCCUUGACCCUUAAGUAUGCACAAGUUAACAAUACUGAUUGAAACUUCUGAAAAAAUGUUAACAAAAGUAUGGACUAACAGUUGCAACUAAACAUCUGAGAGAAUUAGGAGAGGGUAGGAUAACAAUUACAACUAAAAAUCCUAAGAGUGUUAACCACAUUGCAGGUUCAUUACUACAUUUAAUUCUUUCCAAAGAAUGCUAAUACAGAUACAGUUUAAGCAGCUUCAAUGAUAAGUAUAGAUCAAUAACCUUAAUCAUGAGGAAUAUGCUAACAAUUUUGAAUAAAAUAUUCAAGGAGUAUUGGCAGAAGUUAAAAGUAGUAACCAUAAUCAAAACAUCUACUGGUACUGACAUAAAUUAUCACACUAUAACCAGGAUUGACAGGAUCACAAAUUAGAAAUAACUAUAAAUAGAAAUUCUAAGGACAUCAACAAGGUCACAGGUUCACAAAUCUAAUUAGAGCUCCUAAGAGUGUUUAAAAGGGUCUCAAAUAAUCAACGACAUAUCCACCUCUUUUGAGAGUUUUAACUUUAAACUAAUCUCAUUAAAAUGAAGUAGACAGUUAGAUUCAAGCAUUAGUAACAAAGAGUUCCUUUGGAGUUAAGACUUGUAUACUUGAGAGAAACCAGUGAAGUUUUCAAAGCAGUGUAGGCAUACAUAUAGCCAUGAAAGUCAAACGGAGGUGAUGGAUAACAUAGCUGAACACAGGAUCACAAACACACACAAAGGGGACUUAAUAAAGAUUAUGCCAUGGAAUUGUUACUAACAUUGCCAUCAUGUGAUGUCUAAGAAAAGAUAAAGAUAUCAUCACAUCAAUGGAAACAUGCUAAGUAUAUUUGGGAUUAGGCUUCAGGUACAAAGGAAACUUAGCAACAAUGUUUUAAAUGAACAAAUGUGUUAUCACAACUUAAGUAUACUUCAGCAACUUUCAUACCUUAGGUUCAAUAUAAAGCAACCUCAGAAUCAUACACAAAUGCAAUAUGAAGAUCCAAAUAAUUCAAUAUAUGCCUUAUGCAUAGUCAUGAGUUCAAUCAAGUAAUCGACAAAAUUGCGGAGAUAUUUUAAAAAGAUGAGUGUAGAUCCAAAGGCCAUAAGCUAAUACACCAGUACCAUAAUAAUAAUUUGAUUUUUAUCCCCUACAAUCAUACUCUAUUGGAUUGAAGGAACCAAUGUAAAUGGUGAAUGAUGUUCAAAACAAGUUAGUGUAAUAAUCAUGACAAUCUUAGCAGACCAUGAAAUCAUUUCAGAGUUGACAAUAGACAUGACUCAACAUAAGCAUAUUAGCAUUCAAAUGUAUUUUAAAAAAUGUUCAGAGUUGCAGAAUCUACUCAUCAGUCAUUAACAAACACAUAAAACAACUAAAAGGCAUGAAUACAUUAUCAGUAAGAUCAACUGGCAGAGAUAGUAAAGCAUUUCAUAUUUAAGGAUUUAAACUAUUAAAAAGAAGAGUAAGGUUGAAGUUUACUGACUCCUUUGGGGCAACAAACCAAACGAGUAUUCAAAUUAGCCUUUAGGAAAGUAAGAGCUCAAGCUCUUUUUAAGUAAUACACUCAGAAUCAAAGAAGAGAAGAAAACUGACUAAGAACUCAGCUUAGUCGAAAUCUUCCUAAAAACUGUGUUGCGCAUUCACUUUUGUAGAUGUUAGGUGUAGCUAGUAGAUAUAUCUUGUUGUGUGUUAGGUGAAGACAUUAAAAGCCUCAAUUUAUAGUGGCUGUGAAGCCCUAGGGUUUGAGAUUCAAAAUCAAUUAUGGAAGAUGAUGAAGGAUAGAUGAUAAUAGGGAAGAGGGUAAAUCAGAGUGAAAUCAGAGUGAAUUAGAGUGAAUCUGAGAGAAAAAAGAGUGAGACUCUUACCUGAGUGCACGACAGCCAUGAUAAGUGAAGAUCGAUCGGGUAAAGACCAGAGGUCCAGAGGUCAUUGCAUUUGAACUCUGGAUUAGAAUAAUCAUCAUGAGAUGUGCCAUGCAUGGGAGAUUUGGUUGCAACAUCGAUUGCUUUGAAGACUUGAAGUUUCAUGUUUGUGUUCGAGUUCAGAUAACUCAAGAUUCUAAAUGUGUGUGAUGAAACGGGAAGGUUCCGAUGGGAUUCGCGGACAGGGGAGCAAAAAGGACUAUUCUGGAUCAAGAUUCACCACCUUGCACGAUUUGUUGCAAGGUUUGAGACUGAUUUUGG
rnacentral:lncRNA from 1 species